rnacentral:rRNA from 1 species
GUAGAUAUCAGAAGGAACAUCGAUGGCGAAGGCAGCUUUCUGGACCAAUACUGACGCUGAGGUACGAAAGCGUGGGUAGCAAACAGGAUUAGAUACCCUGGUAGUCCACGCCGUAAACGAUGAUAACUAGCCGUUGGGAGGGUUUACCUCUUAGUGGCGAAGCUAACGCGUUAAGUUAUCCGCCUGGGGAGUACGGCCGCAAGGCUAAAACUCAAAGGAAUUGACGGGGACCCGCACAAGCGGUGGAGCAUGUGGUUUAAUUCGAUGCAACGCGAAGAACCUUACCUGGUCUUGACAUACAGAGAACUUUCCAGAGAUGGAUUGGUGCCUUCGGGAACUCUGAUACAGGUGCUGCAUGGCUGUCGUCAGCUCGUGUCGUGAGAUGUUGGGUUAAGUCCCGUAACGAGCGCAACCCUUAUCCUUACUUGCCAGCACUUCGGGUGGGAACUAUAAGGAGACUGCCGGUGAUAAACCGGAGGAAGGCGGGGACGACGUCAAGUCAUCAUGGCCCUUACGACCAGGGCUACACACGUGCUACAAUGGGAAGGACAAAGGGUCGCUAAGCCGCGAGGUGGUGCUAAUCUCAUAAACCUUUUCGUAGUCCGGAUCGGAGUCUGCAACUCGACUCCGUGAAGUCGGAAUCGCUAGUAAUCGUGGAUCAGAACGCCACGGUGAAUACGUUCCCGGGUCUUGUACACACCGCCCGUCAUACCAUGGGAGUGGGUUGCACCAGAAGUGGGUAGUCUAACUUAGGAGGACGCUCACCACGGUGUGAUUCAUGACUGGGGUAAAGUCGUAACAAGGUA